AAAGAGCAGCAUUUCUGUUCAGAAAAGAGGUGCCAGCUCUCUUCUGAUCGAGCACAAAGUGGAGGCAACAUCCAAGUCUGGUGUCACUGACCAGAAGCCUGUCCUGGAUUUCCAUGGAUGUCGGGGUAUGUGAUCCUCCUUUAAAAGGAGGAGGGCAGUGGGUACAGAGACCCUGUGUCCCCCCUCCCCCGUUAGUAUUAUCGUUAAGAGAGUGAGCAGAUGCUGAACGUGAAGACAGCAUAGGACUUCAUCUGGUGACGGCACCCUGCUGCUGACCCUGUAAAGUCUUCCAGGAUAAGAAUUCCUCAUUGUUAAGGUUGCAUUUGUUCAUUCUUUCAUUUCAAUGCUUGGAGCUGUAAGAGAUUGGUGAGCCACUUUUUUCUUGGUGGGGCCAUCCCCAGUACAGAAAGAUUUAUCACAUAUAGCAAAUACAAUGAAGCCAACUAGAAAGCUGGUUGCUAUCACAUGAACAAGAUCUGUCUGUAAUGACUGAAGGAGGAUGCCCAUCCCUUGUCUCCUUACUACAUGACUAUGGAAUAAGGACUAUGUCUCCUUGGCCAACUCUCAGGAACAAGACUGGCACCACAUAAGAAGAGAGAAUAAGGCUAUCUCUGGAACCAGGAGGAACAGAGUGACCACUUUGAUAUUUCCUGACCUUAUAAAAUGUAUCAAUUACUGCCCAAAAGAAAGUUGCAUCUCAAGUGCCAACAGUGGAAAACACACCACCACUCAUGGCUUGAAUUUCAUGAUUUUAAUGUAUCUUGGUGGCAAGAUUAGA